rnacentral:rRNA from 1 species
CUACGGAGGGUGCAAGCGUUAUCCGGAAUCAUUGGGUUUAAAGGGUCCGUAGGCGGGCGAUUAAGUCAGAGGUGAAAUCCCACAGCUCAACUGUGGAACUGCCUUUGAUACUGGUUGUCUUGAAUUUUAGUGAAGUAGAUAGAAUAUGUAGUGUAGCGGUGAAAUGCAUAGAUAUUACAUAGAAUACCGAUUGCGAAGGCAGUCUACUAACUAACACUUGACGCUAAUGGACGAAAGCGUGGGGAGCGAACAGGAUUAGAAACCCUAGUAGUCC